GCCUGGGUGGCUCAGUCGGUUGAGCAUCCGACUUUGGCUCAGGUUACGAUCUCACAGUUCGUGGGUUCCAGCCCCACAUCAGGCU
rnacentral:tRNA from 1 species